AUUGAACGCUGGCGGCAUGCCUUACACAUGCAAGUCGAACGGCAGCACGGGGGCAACCCUGGUGGCGAGUGGCGAACGGGUGAGUAACAUAUCGGAACGUGCCCUGGAGUGGGGGAUAACUAGUCGAAAGACUAGCUAAUACCGCAUACGAUCUACGGAUGAAAGUGGGGGAUCGCAAGACCUCAUGCUCGUGGAGCGGCCGAUAUCUGAUUAGCAGUUGGUGGGGUAAAGGCCUACCAAGGCAUCGAUCAGUAGCUGGUCUGAGAGGACGACCAGCCACACUGGGACUGAGACACGGCCCAGACUCCUACGGAGGCAGCAGUGGGGAAUUUUGGACAAUGGGCGCAAGCCUGAUCCAGCAAUGCCGCGUGAGUGAAGAAGCC
rnacentral:rRNA from 1 species